GUACUGCUGAAGAGUCCCAAACGGGGACGAAACAGCUGUCCAGUGC
rfam:Trichobilharzia regenti genome assembly, scaffold: TRE_scaffold0030036